rnacentral:lncRNA from 1 species
GGCCGCGCGUGCCCCGCUCCUGGGCCGCGCUGGGCUGCGCCGCCCUCCGGGGCCGGGGCGCUGGCAGGCCGAGUGUCCCCAGGGGCCCUGGUGGCCGGGGGCGGGAUAGGGGCAGGUGACAAUUCAAUUAGGGCGACGGGGGGCGGGGAGGGGGUUGGGGGGGAAGGAGGGCAGAUGGCAUAAAUGCCAAGAGGCCGGUUCCUUCCUCCUCCCGGCGGCUUGGGUGCGCUCCCACGUCCGGCGCGCCUGGGGCGGUGGGGGCCGUGCUCCCUCCCGGUUGCUUCCUCCUGCCUCCUUUCAAACACGGGCCCUUCACUUAAAAAAUGUCCGAUAGGCUAGGGCACCAGGAAGGGUAAGUGUGUGCCUUGCGAGGAUUCUUGCUCUUAAAGAGGGGCCGGGGGAGCGCGGAGGGGCGCUUCCCGGCGGCCCUGGCUCCCCGCGCCCGCAUCUUCCCUCCCCGCCGCUAACCCCGUCCCUCGGCCCCUCUUGCUCCGUCCUCGCCUCCGCAGCACCUCGAUUUCUCGUAGGCGGGGGGCGGGGGGCGGGGGGGAUUCUUUCUGUCGGUGUUAUUCCGAAUUAACGAAAAGUUUAGUUUUCGUUUUUAAACGAAAGUAAAGCGUGGCCUCUCUGUCUCCCCAGCUCCUCUUGAACGCAGGAUGCGCGUCCGUCUGUCCGUCCUUCCGGGCCUGAGACGAGGUCGCCACGGACCCCCAGGACUAGUUGUAACUUUCGCCUUCCUCUCCCGCACUGACGUCACGGCCCCAGGAACAGUCCGACCUGCAGAGGAGGGCCAGGUCCCAGGGGAGGACAGGACAUCGGCUCAGACGGACUCGGACCUUACCCUCGGACCUUACCCUCGUGGAGUUGCACCUCAGGCAAAAUCGGAGCUGUCUCAGGUCCAGUCGGCUUUGUUCCGGCUCCGGUGCACCAAGGCGCAGUGGCCGUGGGCCGCGGGACGGCGCGGCCAGGCCGGGCCCCGGACCGCGGAGGAUUGCGCCCCCGCCUCUGCCGUCGGCUUCCUCAGCGAGCGGCGUGAGACGGCAGCGACCACCUGCACACACGCACCGCUCCUCGUUCAGGCGUGUGCUGACUGGGUACCAGUCAUUCUGCUGGGCCUGAGGAUGAGGAGGGACUUUGGGGGGGGCCGCAGUCUGCGGGGGGAGGCGGGGGAACACGUGAGCUGGGAGGCAUGA